ensembl:lncRNA
AUUUCCAUCAUACAAAUGAGGAAACUAUGGCUCAGAGAAGUUAAGUAACUUGUACAACAUCGCAGAGCUGGAAAGUGGUCAAACGAGGUGAAGAAUCCAAGCCUGUCUGACCUCAGAGCACUUGCUCUUAACCUUCACUCUAUGCUGACCUCCCAUGUGGCCCUUGAGAUAGCAGGACAGGUGUCACAGAGAUGAUCCGGGGGGACCCAGGGUGAGCAUUAUGACACACGGAUAACAUCCAUGGUCAGCUUUGACAAACAAACUGAUGGCAGCAGUGGCCCCAAUGUCAUAUGCAAGAGGACAGCCAAGAGGAUCACUGAGGAGCAGUCGCCUGUAUUUUUUGAAAAUCACUACAGUGUCACCAUUCAGAGGGGGACUGCCUAACAGAUGGAGCCGCCCCAGGCCAGGCCGUAAGAGGAGCCACAGGAGGGGCAGGAGCUCUUCCCUGGGGUCAGAGAGUUGGUUCUCAUUCAAAGCCCGGCUCUGCUGUGACCUGCCCGGGGGGCCUUGGACAAGGUCCUUAACUUUCCAGUCUUCAAAUUCUUCAAGAUAAAAUGCGGGGGGCGGAGGGCGGGGGGCGUUGAAAAAUCCACUGCAAAGAUUGCUGGAAAGAUGACAUUAACCGGGCGGGUGCAUGAGCCGAGGCGGAGCAGGACUCCAACAGCACCCUCGACUUGGGAAAUUUGAGGAAUGGGGACCCUGCACAGGUGAGGAAGGAUGGAGUGAAGCCAUAACAGCGCAGUGUCCCCGAUUAGUACCAGCCCGGGGCCCUUACCACCCCUGGACUGAGGGAGGGUGUGGCUCCCAGAACCCCGAAAUAAAGUGUGGACAGCAGAAUAAUGGCCCCCCACAUCCUAGUCUCCAGAACCUGUGAGUGUGUAAAAAAAAGGGGGCUUUGCAAAUGCAAUGCUGAGGUGGGGAGAUUAUCCUGGAUGAUCUGGGGGGCCCAGUGCAAUCACAAGGUCGUUACAAGAGGGGGGCAGGAGGAUUGAGAAGGCGAGGUGAGCUGGGAAGCAGGGCUUGGGUGCUGCGCAGCCGGGGGUCGAGGAACGCGGGCGGCCUGUGGGAUCUGGGAGAGGCGAGGAGUGGACUCUCCUCCGGAGCCCCCAGAAGGAGCGCAGUCCUGCCGACCCUCGAUUUUAGUCUCAUAAGACUCAUUUCGGGCUUCUGACCUCCAGAACUGUAAGACAGUAAAUUUGUGUUGUUUUAAGGCACAAAUUUGUGUUGAUUUCUUGCAGCAGCCACAGGAAACUAGCACAGUGAGAGCUGGGUCUGAGGGCUGCCGUGACGGGAGGCGUGACCUUCACUCAGUCAGGCAGAAGACGCCCCAGAAAGAAAGCUGAGGGGUCAAAACCCCAGCCUCGCUCUCCUCCAGCCCCCGAUCUCCUGUGGGGGCUGCCACUGGAGGAACCAACCGGAAGCAGAAGGGGCCACUGAUGAGUCCAUACAGAUCAGCAUCUGGGGCGGGGCGCAGGGAGGGAGGGUGGAGGGUAGAUCUGAGGAGACGAGCGGGAGAACCCAGCGCAGCGGGGCGACUGGGAGAGACUCUGUGUUGGCUCACUCUUUCUUCAGCCAGGGCCACGUGUGAGCCCUGACGAGGAGCAGGACGUCUGCCCUGCAGCUGGGAACGGAGCCUCACGCCCACCCUCAGAACAGAAUCCCGGGAAGACAGACCCGGAUCUGGGGCACAGAGGGUGGAAAUCCUUCCAGAGCUUCCUGGGAGGGGGGGGUCCUUCAAGGGUCUCAAACCCACCCUCGGGGCCAGUCUGCAGAGGUGAUCAACCCAGAGGCCACCACCCUUCGUCCUGUCUCAAGCACCAAUCCCAACCCCGCCCUCCCCUCCCUCAUGCCACACCCUUCAAGGAUGAGAUGCUCCUGGACCAGAGAAAAGGGUCCCAGGCAUCGGCAGGGUUGGCUGUCCCUCCUAGCUCGGCUCUGACCCAUUGAUACUGCCCGGUGUCAGAUGUGGGCCUCCUCAGGCCCCGCCCUCAGAAACUAACGCUCACAGGCCAAACUAGCUGAGACGCCUGGCGCUAGUCAAUACGGCAACUGUGCGAAUUAGAGAGAAAGUACCCCUUUCUCCAGGCACUUUCCUGCCACCUACUGGAAACUUGUAGCAACUACACAUAUCUAAUGACCACGAGGUAAACAGGCACCCCCGGGGAAUUGUGCAAUGCACAACAGGCACCACUGCAAGUGGCAGCCUGGCAGCCUUCAUAAAGCUGUCAUCACACGUGCAAUGGUGGUGACAGCAGGUGGCCUUUUUUUGGUUUGUUGUCUGUCUCUCCAGCCCUCACCAAAACUGUCAUCAAUGCCUCCCAGCAAAGGCCACCAGGAGCACACCUCUAGUUGAACACACUGGGCAUGUGACCUGCAGCAAGAGAAGACAGAAGGGAACAUGUGGCUGGAUCACGUUUCUAUGAAGCUCAAGAAUGAGUGAAACUAAUUCGCAGUGUCCAGGGCCAGAACGGGCCGGGGGUGUGUAGUCAUUCUAGGCCAGCGCUGUCAAAAUAGCAUGCAUGGGGCACGGCCGGUCUGAACUGAGACGGGCCGUAAGGUCAAAGACCCUGCCUGAGAAACAGAAAGUGUCUCAAUAAUGAGAAAAUGAUAAUAUUUUUGACAUACUUGGUUAAAAAUUAAUGCCACCUAUUUCUUUUUCCCUUUUUGGACGUGGCUCUCCACCCUUCCUGCCCGGCGCUUCUGGGAAGCCGGGAUAAGCUCACGGUCAUUCUGCACGAGACCGUGGUGAUGGGACGCCCGUCUGCCGACUGAUCCACCCAGCUCUUCCUGGGGGGAGGAUAUAGUUAGGACGUCCGAUAGUUGGAGCGGGUUUGAUUUAAGAUUAGGAUAUGUGGGUGUCACCCACGGGGAAUCAGAGCUUUAAAAUCUCCUCUUCUUUCUCCUUCUUCUCCCCCUUCCUUUCCCUCUUCCUUCCUCCUCUCUCUCCCUCUCUUGCUCUCCUCUCUGCACAUCUACUUCAUUUCCCCCUCACUUACCAGCUGACUCCCCUAUUUCUCAGGCCACGAGGGGGGACAUUUGGUGGCUCACUGCUCCCCCAUUUCGCUGCUUACGUGUCACCACCUGGAGAGAGAUCGCUCUGUCUCUGUCUCCGGGUGUCGCUCUCCUAACUCCUCAAGAAGGAGCCGGCAGGCCUGACUGUGGCCAUGUUCUGCCCCAUGCUGACUAGCUAUGCCAGAGCGUGGAUCUCCUUCCUUGCUUCCUAAGGCGGCUGGGGAGGUGACAACAACGGCAGCCCCAGCUGGGAGCCGGGGUGGCCAGCCUGUCAGCGAGGAGGCAUGCAAACCUCUUAAGAAAUGCAAGAGAAGCACAGAAUGUGGGUGGACGUUUGAAAAGGGGGGAAUCCUAGAAUGCCACCCAAGGAUGAAGAAAAAAUUGGUGAGGCAGAAGGAAAACGUUGUGAGGAAAACAGAGCUGCAAACUGCGAGCAGGCUGGUUAACCACCAGCUAGAAGUCAAGGAAUUUCAUCCCAGCCCUGGUUCUGUCGGUGACUCAUUGUUGUGACCUUGGAUAUGUCCCUUCUCAUCUCUGAGCCUCAGUUUCUCCAUCUGCAAAAUACGGUGUUGGACUAGACAAUUUCUGAGCGUCCUCGCACGUGCAAGAAUUGAGAUGUGUUUUUCAUAAAGAAACUGACUCACGCAGCCAAUAUUUCUGAGCCCCUGGUACAGGCCAGGCAUAUUCUAGCUACAGGGGAUUCAGCAGUGAAUUAAACAGACGAAAUUCUCUGCCCUCCAGAGAUUGUCAAUCUCAGUAAGAGCUGCCAGCCUCAAGAUGCUGAGGAGAGACAAACGCUCCGCCACAUCUUUCAGUGGUGCUUUUAUUGGCGGCAGGAGGUGAGACAAGACCCUUUGUUCAUCCAAUUCUUGCAGAAAUGAGGAUACCUAGGGUAACGGAGCAAUUGUAAUUAGGCCAGGAACUGUGCACACUCGGAGCUCCAGGCACAAGAAUGCGCUUUACCUAAGCUUUCGGUCAAACCCGAGGGGAGGGAUGGGGGGCACGCAGGAGCAGCCCCCCCAGUAGGUGCUCAGAGGGGGUCAAGGCGGCCCCUCUCAUGGGCCAUUCAAUCAGGUGAGAUUCAGGUGAGUCUCCCAUACGAGGCAGGAAGAUGAAAACCAGGCGUCCAGUGGUCAGCUGUCAGAGCUCCCAAACCUGGGCUGCCACAUUGUCCUCAUGCAGAUGGGCGACGUGGGGAGGCCGGAGCUUCCGUACUUUCCACAGAGGAUCUAUUAUCUGGGGGAAACCAGGAGCCAGGCCCAGGUGGGUCCUCACUCCCAGCUCUCUCCACCAAUACCUGCUGCCAGGACCCCAGAGGAGCAAUGGCCUUGCAGGAAGUGAAAAGAAACGCCGGCUCUGCUCUUCUUGUUUCGGGUCAUCCCCACGGCUACCCCUUAGCACUAGCUGUGCUGGUAAAGAGUCCAAGCUUUGGAUCCAAGCCACGUGUGUCAAUUCCAGCUCGGCCACUCGCAGUGUGCGACCCGGGCAAGCUGUGCCCCUGCACUGAGGAUCCUCUGCCGAGUGGCCCUGACACUAUGAAGCAGACCAUGAGGCAGAGAGAAGGCGCUCAGAAAGGGGCGCCACAUCAGUCCCCAGGGCUCCCGCUGGGCCACCAGCAGAGCCGCGCUGCUGAAGGUUGAACUGUCGGCUAAAUGCAUCUGACCGAGGUGACCUGGCCAAGGUGACCUGGCCUCGUGGGCGAGGAGGUGACCUGGCCUGUGACAAGCAGUAACUGAGCAGAUGUUGUCCCCUCUGCCAUGUUGCCCCCCUCGAGAUGCACACCAAACCCUUAGAUGUCACUUCUGGCCGAGGCCUUCUCACGGCAGGCGGUUCUGUGACUGAGGGCGUCCUUGCCUCCCGAGAGAAGGCCACGCCCCAAUGGGGCAGGAAAAUGUUGACGCUAGUCCCCAUUUGUGGCGUCUGGGCCUGAGUGCAAACUCUGACCUUGCCCUGACUAGCUGGGUGACCUGCACGUGUCUCUCAGCCUCUCUCAGCUUUCCUGGCCUCCCUCCCGUCUGGAGGAGACUUGAUACCUGAUCAGCAGGUCUUGGCAGAAAACGCGGACCGCUCAAAGUUGUGGGUGCGGAGAGCGGAACAAAGGUGCCGGCGGGGCGGAGGGAACAAAGGCGGGGAGGGCACUCUGGGACCAGCUGGGGUGUCACCCUUGCCAUGCUCAGGCCUGAAGGGCCCAGGGGGGCACUGCUGCUCUGGGGGCAGGGAUGGCUGUGGCCUGGAAGGGCUGCCUGACUCCAGCUCAAAGAGCACAGCCCCUGCAACACCACAGCCCAGCCAGGAGACGGGGCGGGGAGCACGGCCCAAGCUUCUGUCCUCCCACGCAGACCUCCUGCUGGAGCCACCUGUGGCCAAACCCAGCCAGAGGCUGGAGGGCCAGGGAGCCAGGAUACAUCGGCGUGUUGAGCCUCUCGGGGGCAGAGCAGGCCAGAGAGCAGAUCUGGGGACAAACGGAGACUAACGGGCUGUGGUAUGGCCCCCAGCGAUGCCCACACCCUCAUCUCCAGAUCCUGUGAACAGGUGACCUUCGUGGCAAAUGGGACUUGGCACACGUGAUUAAGUUAAGGAUCUUGAGAUGGGGAGACAAUCCUGGAUCUCCACGUGAGCCCAACAUAUUCACAAUGGUGCUUAGAAAAAGGAGGCCGGAGGGUCACAAACAUGCAGAGGGGAUGUGACGAUGGAACUAGAGGGGCACGCAGAGAGGCUGGAAGACGUCACACUGCUGGCUUUGAAGAUGGAGGAUGGGGCCACAAGCCAAGGGAAGCAAGCGGCCGCUAGAAGCUGGAAAAGGUGAGGAAGCUGAUUCUCGCCUACAGCCUCCAGAAAGAACACAGCCCUGCAGUCCCAUUUCAGGACUUCCGGCCUUCAGAACUGUAACAGGAUAAAUUGGUGCUGUUUUAGCCUAUCCAGGUCGUGGUAACUUGCUACCACAGCAACAGGAAACUAACGCACCUGCAUAAUACCUGUGGGGUCCCUCUGCCCACCCAGCUUCUGCUCCCCUCCGACAUCACUCUCUGGCUCUGGAUCCAUGUCAAGUCCAGCUGGACGGAGGUCAGAAAGGUGGUUCAUACGUGGAAGCGAAUGCCCUGGUAAGCCAGUCGUGAUGCUCAGACAGAGGGAGCAGGCCCGAGGGGGCUGGGAAGCCACAUAAGCCCCUCUCACAUGAACCCCUCUGGCUGCUCCCAAACAUGGGCUACAGACAUGCUCUGGGCUGCUCCCUAACAGAACUUUCAUACUUUCUCCUUUCCUUUCGUUUUAAUACAUCAUACCCACAUACGGACUGUCUGGUGAAGGAUACAGCACCAUGCAGCACAAAAAGCCCCAGCCCCGAAGUCUGGAAACCUGGAUGCGAGUACUGGGUCUACUCCAGCUUUGAAGUGGGGUCUAGAAAGUCACUGCCCUUCUCUGAGCUUCAGUUUCCCCAUCUGUACAAGGGGACAGGACUGAAGUCCUAGUCUACUGGUAUUCCGAUUCCACAAUUCUCAACACCUCCUUCCCUGUCGCCAGCCAGCCGGAGCCUGUAGGAGCAGGGUGGUCAGGGCUCCUGGAGCACCGCCACAUCCGGAACACAGAGCUUUCUCUGGGAGGUCCAGCCAAACCCCCCUCCUGGACCACAAUCUGCUUGUUCUCUGCUGCCCCCUGCUGGCCAAUCAAAAACAAAGGCUUCCAGCAGGAUCCCUUGGAAAUGGUUGAAAGGGACCAGCAGAAGAUGCCCCCUGCAAACUCCUGCAUUCCCCUGCCCAGACCUGGCCAACCGGGACCUCCCUGGAGCUGCUGUCAGGGCUCAGAGGAAGCCAGCGCAGAGACCAGAGGCCUGGAAGGGGAGGCUGCCUGCUGUGGGCCCUGGGGCAGCUCUCCCCAUCCCUGCAUCCCACCUCUUCCGAACUGGUGAGAUGGGGUAUGAGAUGCUGUGGUUUCUGAAAAGUGGUCUGUUGUCCCAUUCUCUGCCUUUGGGUGAUAGUAACAACAGGAUGAGGUGUCCCUGCUCUCUCUCUCUCAAAUUCACACAAGAGAAGCACACACAUAAGAAGCAUGCUGACAAGGCAAAAAUUAACAGGGAGAAGUCCACCGAGACAGCCCCAGGAGGGCUGCCUCCAGAAAGAGAAGAGAGACUGCAGCACUGUGAUGCUGAGGCUGCUUAAACCUGAGGGGUCAACCUACAGACAAAGCACCGAAGACUUAAUUUUGGCUACAAGCAGAACAAGGUGGGGUGAUGGAAAAGCAAAGAUACAUCAGACCGCGAGGUGGGAGGAAGUGGGAGGUGGAGGGAGGGGUCCCAGCGCUGUCACCAUCGUCCUCCGCGGAGGAGUCGCUGAACCGACGAACGUCAAUGGAAUAGAGACUUCUAGACAAAGUGUGCAAAGUUACAAAAAUAACCAAGCCAAGAACCAAAAAUAUAAGUAGCCAAAAUUGGGAGCAGGAGACGGAAGGGAAGAGGAAGCAUCAAAGCGUUAAAUAAACCUCCGUUUCCCUUGACACGGGGCAAAAACGACGCGUGCAGAAAUCGUGAUUUAAACGUAUCAUUUGGAGAGAGAGAAAGAAAACUACCAAAAGAGUGAAAAACAGAGUCAGUUAAAACUGCUAGCUCUGGGGUGAGGAAUGGACAAAGAAGGGCAGGAAAUUUUGCUGUUAUUCACAAGCUCUUCUGUGCCCUUUGGGGUUUUUUUCACCACGGGCCCGUAUUUUUUUGAUUUAAAACUAUUUUAAAUUUUAAAAAGUGACACCCAAAUCCUGGCCAACUGAACCGGAAAUGGCCAGGCCAUCCAUCUGCUGGGGCCCAGUGCCUGCUGUCCGGUGGAUGCAGAGGGGCGGCCCUCCAGCAGCCUCAGCUCCCUGUGCACGGCCUUCCGCAUGGACGGCUCCAGCUCCAGCACUUUCUCCAGGUCCGCCUUGGCCUCCGCCUCGUUCCACACCUCCGCGUGAGCCCGGGCCCGCAGAGGCUCCCCAAGUUGUGGAAGCUUUGGGGACUCUCCCAGCACCUGUCGCAUACGGUGAUUGUGAGGAUUAAAUGAGACGACAGAUGGGGAGAAUUUAGCGCCCGCUGCAUCGUGUUUGAUGUUGUGAAUCCUGUUCAAACACCGUCUCCACAAACAUUGCCACAUCCACGCAUCACAGAUACUAGUAUGCGUUGAUACUACUCUCUGUAUCGAUUGCCUGCCUUUUUUAACAAAAAUCUAUUUACUCUCCACGCAAUGACAGGUUGGGGAGCUGCUGAUAGAGUCGUCCUAAGAGGCAUUAAACUAGC